AUUGAACGCUGGCGGCAGGCCUAACACAUGCAAGUCGAACGGUAACAGGAAGAAGCUUGCUUCUUUGCUGACGAGUGGCGGACGGGUGAGUAAUGUCUGGGAAACUGCCUGAUGGAGGGGGAUAACUACUGGAAACGGUAGCUAAUGCCGCAUAACGUCGCAAGACCAAAGAGGGGUAGCUUGGUGCCUCGGUUGAUCGGAGGUGCCCAGAUGGGAUUAGCUAGUAGGUGGGGUAACGGCUCACCUAGGCGACGAUCCCUAGCUGGUCUGAGGGGAUGACCAGCCACACUGGAACUGAGACACGGUCCAGACUCCUACGGGAGGCAGCAGUGGGGAAUAUUGCACAAUGGGCGCAAGCCUGAUGCAGCCAUGCCGCGUGUAUGAAGAAGGCCUUCGGGUUGUAAAGUACUUUCAGCGGGGAGGAAGGGAGUAAAGUUAAUACCUUUGCUCAUUGACGUUACCCGCAGAAGAAGCACCGGCUAACUCCGUG
rnacentral:rRNA from 1 species